UGAGGAGGAGAAAUGAAAUUGAGGAUUUAGUGGUUCCAUGGAUCGAUCUGGUUCGGGUUUUGGAAGGGGUUGGUGUUGGAGUGUAUGGGAACGAAGGGUAAGCUCUUCCCAUUGAUCGGGCAGGCAAUGAAAGACGAUUUGGUCGAUGUUGUUGGUGAUGAUUGUGGUGGUGGUCCGCCAUUGUAUCUUCCGAUUGAUCGGGCAGGCAAUGAAAGACGAUUCGGUCGAUGUUGUUGAUGAUUGUGGUGGUGAUCCGCCAUUGUUGAAGCUGGAGUUUGACUCUACUGCUGAGUCGCCGGG
rnacentral:lncRNA from 1 species